UUUGAUCCUGGCUCAGGACGAACGCUGGCGGCGUGCCUGACACAUGCAAGUCGAGCGGAGACAGUGAGUAGCUUGCUACGAGCUGUUUUAGCGGCGGACGGGUGAGUAACGCGUGAGCAACCUUUCCCAGACAGGGGAAUAACACACCGAAAGGUGUACUAAUACCGCAUAAGACCACGGGAUCACAUGGUUCUGGGGUAAAAGAUUUAUCGGUUUGGGGUGGGCUCGCGUCCGAUUAGGUAGUUGGUGAGGUAACGGCCCACCAAGCCGACGAUCGGUAGCCGACCUGAGAGGGUGAUCGGCCACAUUGGGACUGAGACACGGCCCAAACUCCUACGGGAGGCAGCAGUGGGGAAUAUUGGGCAAUGGAGGAAACUCUGACCCAGCAACGCCGCGUGGAGGAAGAAGGUUUUCGGAUCGUAAACUCCUGUCCUUGGAGACGAGUAGAAGACGGUAUCCAAGGAGGAAGCCCCGGCUAACUACGUGCCAGCAGCCGCGGUAAUACGUAGGGGGCAAGCGUUGUCCGGAAUAAUUGGGCGUAAAGGGCGCGUAGGCGGCUCGGUAAGUCUGGAGUGAAAGUCCUGCUUUUAAGGUGGGAAUUGCUUUGGAUACUGUCGGGCUUGAGUGCAGGAGAGGUUAGUGGAAUUCCCAGUGUAGCGGUGAAAUGCGUAGAGAUUGGGAGGAACACCAGUGGCGAAGGCGACUAACUGGACUGUAACUGACGCUGAGGCGCGAAAGUGUGGGGAGCAAACAGGAUUAGAUACCCUGGUAGUCCACACUGUAAACGAUGAAUGCUAGGUGUAGGGGGUAUCGACCCCUUCUGUGCCGCAGUCAACACAAUAAGCAUUCCGCCUGGGGAGUACGGCCGCAAGGUUGAAACUCAAAGGAAUUGACGGAAGG
rnacentral:rRNA from 1 species